rnacentral:rRNA from 1 species
UAAUACGUAGGGGGCAAGCGUUGUCCGGAAUUAUUGGGCGUAAAGAGCGUGUAGGCGGUCCGGUAAGUCAGCUGUGAAAGUCAAGGGCUCAACCCUUGAAUGCCGGUUGAUACUGUCGGGCUAGAGUCCGGAAGAGGCGAGUGGAAUUCCCGGUGUAGCGGUGAAAUGCGCAGAUAUCGGGAGGAACACCAAUGGCGAAGGCA